CUCUCCCCUCACCAAGAUGCCCCCAAGACCCACCAGGUGUCAUCUUGCCAGAUAUGAAAAAUUAAGUGGCAACAAGCACAGUCCUUCGGACCUAAUGGGCCAAGGGGAAGAGGCACUGGCUCACUCAAGACAGCCAAGUUUGGUCAGAUUGCCGAGGUAUGGACAAUGGGAUGUGCCUGGAGGGAUCUAUACCACUUCCAAGUCUUGGCUUUAAAAGGAUGGAAGAGGCACCCUACUACUCCCUCACCCCGACUCCCUGCUUCCUGCUGGUGGAAAUGCUGAGACCAGAGCAGCCAACCUGGAUUCAGUGACAGGAGCCUCAUGUUAAUGAUGGAAGAGCCACCCUUCCAACUCUUGAAUGUAUUUCCUGAUUGUUAUCUAUGAGAGAAAAAAGUUCUUUCUAGUUUAAAUAUUAUAUUUUGGAGUCUCUUUGUUAUGUCGGCUUAGCCUGUACCCUAACCAAUACAGUCCCUUUCUCUCAGGACUGUUUUUAUUUUUCCUUUUUAGCCUUAUUUUAUUACUCUUACUGGAUUAUGUCUUUUAGUAUGAUUCCUUACAUCCUUCCUAGCAAG
rnacentral:lncRNA from 1 species